CCAGACAAUGCGCUCUCUGAAGCGUCAGCUGAACAAGGCCGAGGAAGAGGCGAGUAGGAGAGAGGCACAAUACCACCACACUCAGAGCUGGCUGGCUGAGGAGAGGGAGACGAAUGGAUUUCCUCAGAGGCAGCUUCUCGACCAACACCUACAGACACAGCGUAAGGAAACUGACAAUCCGUCAGACCCUGGAUAACCUGAGGUUGGACCUGAGUGUUAAGGAUGAAGCUGAUCAUCAGCUGGUAGAGCCGCAAAAAAACAAUGUCACAAAAGUCUGAACCCUCACACUCCACACACUCUCUUAUUACAGAACAUAACAGGCUGCAUCUUUACACUAAGGUGACAUUUUCUAAACCUGCCAAAAACACCUUUUAAUACACUACAGCAUACUGCACUUAUAGCGGUGCAGAGAGAAGCUAACUUUCAGUGUGACAUGGAUAUGCCUUUCAAUGAUAAAGACAAAUGCCUCUUUUGACCUGGUUUCUGUUUUUCUGUCACAUAGAAUAUUAAGAAGAAUGUUUGCUUGGUGCAGAGAGACGGAUGACGGGAAAACUUAACAGUGACAAAAAAAAGAGAUCAUUUAUAGUGAACAUGUUUUUUAUGUUUGUUUUUAUGAUUUGAAGAUUGUCUUUAUUUGCAAUUGCUUGUUGGGCACCCAAUAAUGUUAGAGGAUAUGUAUGAUUUUAAAUUUCACUUUAAGGUAUUUUGGGGGUUUUGCUACAGCGUUGAUGUUACUGUAUCUGUUUGUAUAAUAAUUGUGUUUUAUCCAAAUUAACCACACAAAAUUUUAAGAAGUGUUUACUCAAAAUACAGCUAAGUAAAAGUAAAGGAAAAUGUGGUAGAGGCCAACAGAAAAGAAGAACAAAUAUCAGACUGAUCAUUCCUAUAUAGCUAAUCCGUCAUGUUUACCUUUGUUAGCCUCUUGUGCUUUUUUGGAAACAGAAACAUAACUCAAAAAAUGUUUGGAUAUCAGCUGUUGGGAAUGUUUGCUGGCUAUUUUUUUUUUUUGUCUUUAGGUUAUCAUUCUCAUGAUGGGGGUGUCUGAAGAAAUAUAAAUAUAAAUAGAUUUUUUUACUUAUUUUUGUAAGAACACUUCAAAUUCUACUGGUUCUGCUAUUCUUAGGUAUUUAUUUUUCACAUUGUCUCUUUCUUUCGAAUAAAUUAUUUUCCACUGUUAA